UUUGAGCAAAGGGCUGCAUACGACGAGAUACUAGCGGCUGUUGAACGCGGUGAUGGGGGUAUAUUCUUUGUUGAUGGCCCUGGAGGUACGGGGAAGACCUUCCUUUACAGGGCGAUGCUCGCCAAGGUGAGGCGCGAGGGCAAGAUUGCUAUCGCUACCGCGACGUCGGGCGUCGCUGCUUCUAUCAUGCCUGGCGGCAGGACUGCCCACUCGAGAUUCAAAAUCCCACUGAGUUGUGAUGAUGGAGCCUCGUGCAGCUUCACCAAGCAGAGUGGGACCGCCAAGCUGCUAAGGAUGGCCUCAUUGAUACUAUGGGACGAGGCCAGCAUGACUAAGCGACAAGCGGUUGAGGCAUUAGACAAUAGCAUGCGCGACAUCAUGGGAAUACGCGACCGACCCUUUGGAGGAAAGACUGUUGUUUUU
rnacentral:rRNA from 1 species